rnacentral:rRNA from 1 species
AAAGGAAUAGACGGGGACCCGCACAAGCAGCGGAGCAUGUGGUUUAAUUCGAAGCAACGCGAAGAACCUUACCAAGACUUGACAUUUCAUGCAUAGGCUAGAGAUAGCCGAAACUCAGCAAUGAGCAUGAGGACAGGUGGUGCAUGGUUGUCGUCAGCUCGUGUCGUGAGAUGUUCGGUUAAGUCCGGCAACGAGCGCAACCCUUGUGAUAUGUUGGCAAUAUUAAGUUAGCAACUCAUAUCAGACUGCCGUGGACAACACGGAGGAAGGCGGGGACGACGUCAAAUCAUCAUGCCCCUUACGUCUUGGGCUACACACGUGCUACAAUGGGCGCUACAGACAGUAACGAAGUCGUGAGAUGGAGUCAAUCUGAAAAAAGCGUUCUCAGUUCGGAUUGUGGGCUGCAACUCGCCCACAUGAAGUCGGAGUUGCUAGUAAUCCCGGAUCAGCACGCCGGGGUGAAUGCGUUCCCGGGUCUUGUACACACCGCCCGU